rnacentral:lncRNA from 1 species
GUCAUCUUAAUCUUUGCAACUCGUUAGUUUCUUCCUAUGCAGCUCUUUUCUUUCCUUUGGUAUAAAUAUUAUGUUUUUGUUUAAUUUAACACAAGGGAAUUUUUGUUGCAGACUCAGAGAUGAUGGCGGAGGCAAGAGGACCUGUUAUUUCGUGUAGAUGCAGCAAAACCGAAGACUGUCAGGGUAUUUGCGCCGUGUGCCCAAACUAUAGCUGCAUUAAAAACAUUUGUACUUGCCUUUCAAACGCACCUCCAUUUCCAUAGUCUUAGAAUCUACACACUCCAACAGUUGAAUGAAAUGGUGGGAUUUUUUUUGUGUAAUUUGAAAUAAAUUAUCAUGCAAUGGAUCUAAUAAGAAAAAAUAUUGUAAUUAGGGUAAUUUUAAUUUUCUUUUUACCCGUCUCUGCCCCUCCCCCCCUUUCCAGUAGCGAAAAGCAUGUUACAUUUAAAAUCUAUAAAAAGAGUUACAAUCUUGUUUUAAAACUAAAAGAAAUAAUAGUAAGAAGAAAAGAUAGGAGAAAAAUUAAGACACAAAAUGAUAUGAUAAUUCUUCUUUCUACUUGUAUCUCAUAAGCUUCUAUAUGGCUUCAAUCUAUAGGGCUUCAACAAUGAUAGGCUAAAAUAAUAUAAAUAGGAAUAUCAAAACUCGCAAUAAAUUGAAUGGGUAUUUCAUAAGUUGCAAGUUCCACCGUAUUCUUUUGGUGGGGACACUUUGUUAAUUUAUCAACAACACUCUGCACUAGAUGUGUAUCAAAUGGAAACGUGCUCUGUUAAAACUUUAUUAGAAAAAAUUGCAUAAGCACCUAUUAUAAUCUAAAACUUUAAAAACAUUUUCUAGGAAAACUUAGCUGGACAAUACCUUGGGUAAAGGAAAGAGUAAACAUGUUUUAGACUCCCCCUAAUUUUAAAAAUAUUGAAACAUGGUACAAAUUUUGAAACAAUUUUUUGUUGCUAAAUACUUCGUCAAAGAGAAUCAUACUAUGAAGACAUGCCUUUUUAAUUACAAUGAUAACCAUUGAGUUUCAUUGUAUACUCUAGGUUCAUUUGCCAAUAGCUCUUUUGCACAACAUAAUAUAGGUGGGGGCGAAUCAAACUUUAAAUUAAGCGACAUUAAUACAUGCAUUAAAGCCUCCAUUAAUUUCUUAUAAGUUUAUUUUUAUAUCCACAAUCAACAUUUUUCUUAUGCGGACAUGAUACCUUGCUAUUGCAUAUCACUUAAGGAAAACUGUAUAUUAAAUUUAGCCUCAUGGCUUUGGAGAUUUCUACAUCCUAUCUCUCUUUCUUACUCCGUUGCAAGGAUGUUCAUGUAGACCACCUGAUAGAUAGUUGUAUGGUUUCUUUAUUCUUAUUGAAACACAUAUCGAGUCUUUCUUGACAUCACUGUGACUUUAAUAGUCAUUACCAAUAUGGUUUGACUCUUGCAGGUUUCGAGUACAGUGGCGUGUCAUUCGGCCCAAUUAAAGGCUAUUAUUGUUGUUUCAAUUUGAGAUCGCUCUCUUCUAGUUUUUCUUCUUCUUUUCUCAUUUUGGUUUCCUACCCUUUAUAUGCUUGUUGUAGUAUUUUUCCUUAAGUUAAUUUUGGAAAUACAUAGAAUCUAUUGAAUGGAGUGCCAUUAAUCUUAUCAACAUUAUAUCUCAUCAUCUUCUUGCUUGUUUUUAGGAUCUUUAUGGCCAUGGUUAGACAAGAGUUUAUCUAUCUUGUAACACUUAUUUUGGGACAUGCAAUGUGCACAAUUUCUAUAAGUCCUGCUCUUUUACCUGUUGUGUCAAUGAGGCCAUCUUUAGGUAUUUCCCCCUCUAUUUUGUUUCAUUAGUCAAAUUGGAUGUACAGUUAUGAACUUAAAAUCAACCAAUCACUUUUUGUGUUUUUGUAACCUCUCUUUUCAGGUCUGAUAACAUCGAUCAUGAAGUUGAGCUCCUCCGUGGAUAGCCUUGGUUGUUUGUUUCCAUUUUUUCACAAUCUCUUGCAACAAAUUUUGAGAUUUUAAUUGUAUUGAUAGUUUUAUUAGCCUUGUAGCGAGCCCAAGAUACCAACUGCUCCCACCCAUGAUUUUAAAUUUUAAAUACUUUAUUUAAAUGAUUCUGAUGUUUAGAAAUUUAAAAAAUAAACUAAUUUUCUUCUAAAUUUUAUUACUUAGCGAUCCGCUACUUGGGAGCGGAAGAACUUAAACCCUAGGCCAUACAAGACUAAGAAGUCAUCUAGGUGAGAAUUAACCCAAAAUUGGUAUUGCCUAUCCAUGAACCUCUUACCUCAAGUUGGUCUGGACUGUGAGGUCGAAAGAUAAGUACUUGUUGCCAACUCAUUAGUUUAGUGGAAGAUCGAUAGAUUCUACUAGGUUAGCGGCUAAUUGAUUGAGUAGAACCAGAAAUAGGAUUUAGUUAUGACCACAAAAGCGAGCUAAUCACUCAUGCUUAGAUUUUAUUGAAUCACAUAUUAGUUUUCCAUCUUUUUAAUUUUAUGCAAGUUUAUUUCUUUUCUUAUAAAAACAAUUGUUUUUCACUUUAUGAUCAUCGUACUAUAAUUUAUUUAAGUUACUAAUUAGAUCUAUUUGCGUUUAGGUUAAUAUUAAUUUAUUACUUGUCUGCCUUGGGUACGAUCCUCGAGUACUCACCUACUUCGUUGUAAAACUAUAUUACAACCUGACUCGUAUACUUGAGGACACCGCCUCAAUUCAAUAUAUACUUUUAGCAAUAUUCACACUCUGGAUUCUAGUACCUCCGAAGGCGGUCACUUUCCGAAGUGGCGCGUAGUUUAUCUGCAAAUCAGUGGUGGCUCGUCUACAAUCCGGAGUGAUAUGUUAGACGAGUUCUGGGGAAUUCGUACGUGAGGUGUGUAGCGGAGUCGGGUAGGACUUUUCUGUUAAUUUGAAACUUCAAUGCAUUCAUAAGCACAUGCAUAUAAAAUUGUGAAUACCAAUAUAGUGAAGUGAAGCGUUUUAUGUGAAAAACCGUUAAUCUGAGGUGCCUUGUGGUUGUCUUUAAUCUCAGGAUUGCUAAUUCAUGUGCCUUAUUGGUUUGUUGUUUUAUUCUGAUUUUCUUGUGACUGAACUCACAUUGAGCUUCAUAGCUCACUGCCCUUUAGUUCCCAUCCUUGUAGAUAACCCACCAGGUUGGGAUGCGACAUAUGGAGGGCUCGAAAAAGUUUUAAUGUUAUGAAAGUAUUGUUAUGCUUAUUUUAAAAUUUAUGUUAUUUCGGAACUGUACUGUAUUAUUUAUUUUCUAGCAUUGGAUUCAUAUUUAGGUUUUGGUUUUAUAUUGCAAGCAUGACAUAUAAAUUUUUGUUUUUAAGAUGAUGAAAUAUGGAUUUCAAUUAAAUAUGCAUGAAAUAUAGAUGUUAGUAAAACUCAGGAAAAGCCAUUUUUCCGCUGAAAGGUCAUAAUUAAAUUUUGUCUAAUAACUACAAUAUAACUAAGUUCACAAUAGUUAUCACCUUUUACAAGAAAAUAUUAGUUUAAUUGUAUUUUAUAUACCCAUGAUUUGUUUUCUAAAAAUAGACAGAGUCUUUGUAAAGAUAAAAAAUGUUUUAAUGUGACUAUUUAAAAUGUUCGAUUUCUCUAGGCCAUCAUGGUGGCCGAUGUAAUCUCCCGACCUCGAGCCUACCGUCUAGGCCAAUUUGGGGAGGUUACAAUUUCAAUGCCAUAAAGUACUAAAACCAUAUUUUCAAUCAUCUUCAGCGUAGAUUAUUUCAUGUUGAUAUGAGUUGAAUUAAAAUAUUUAACUUGAACUUAUAAAUUUGCCAUAUUUAAGGGGAAAAAAGUGGUUUUACUUCAAACAAAAAGAAGAGAUAAAUUGUUACCAACUAAAUUGAUGAACAAGAACUUGAUAUGAUAUAUACGUGAAUACAAUAAAAAUACAUUAAUUGCGCUACAAUUGUGCAUAAUAUCCUUUUUAUUUAGUUAUAUUGUGUUUGUACAAAAUUAGUAAAAAUAAAAUACUAUGCAUCAAAUAUGUUCAAUUCUAAUUCUAAUUCUAAUUCUAGUUCCAAUUUGAGUUUGAACUUGAUUUGGAACACAAAAAUUGAGCAUGAUGUCAAGAAUGGGAAUCCAACUCAAGUCUUAUCAAAUAAACAAGCCUAAUUAAAUUUAGUAAAGCUACUUAAAGCAGUUUAAUCUUUAUCUCGUAUCAAGUUUAUAUUUUAAAAGUUAAACUAAAUGAAGUUAUAUUGGAGCAUUCAAUUCUCUAGGUUUCUAUGGAGAUUGAGAUUGAAUUUUUUGGCUCUGUUAAACCCCAUUAAAUAACUUUAAAUUUUUUAUUUUGAUACAAUAGUUAAUAUUAUUUCCAAACUCAUAUAACUGGUUGUGUAGGAAGGGGUCAGGUUUUUUUGUCUGCUUUCUCUCACUACUAUCUCCAAAAUUUUAAUGCUUUUAGUAUUUUAAUAUUUGAAAAUAAUUAAAUAUAUAUAUUUGACUAACAGGAAAAAUAUAAUUUAAUCUUUUCUUCUCCUAGACCACAAAUAAAAAAAGAAUUGGAACAUAUUUCCCAUUUGUUUCUAAACAGUUGGACAAAUAAUCAACUUAUUGGCAUCAUGCAUUCCAGAUUUGGUAACAUUAAUUUCCAUGACUACACUUAGAACAAAAUAAUGAUAAUUAGUAAACAAAAUCCUCAUAAAUCUUCUCAAGGAUGUUUUUCUGGUUUACUUUCCUUUUAGACAUAGUUUCAUAAGGAAAAAAAUAAAAACGUAAUAAUCUCAAAGAAUCCAAAGAAAUUAGUAUUCCUCCAUGCAACACAAAAUAAGAUACUAUAUAUAUUAAAUCCAUAAGCUAUAAAUUUCCACCAACAUUGUUAAUUAGAUAUAAAGAGAUGGCAAAGUUUUCAUUCAAUUUGUGUAUAUUUGCUGCCAUCUUAAUCUUUGCAACUCGUUAGUUUCUUCCUAUGCAGCUCUUUUAUUUCCUUUGGUAUGAAUAUUAUGUUUUUGUUUAAUUUAACACAAGGGAAUUUUUGUUGCAGACUCAGAGAUGAUGGCGGAGGCUAGAGGACCUGUUAUUUCGUGUAGAUGUAGCAAAACCGAAGACUGUCAGGGUAUUUGCACCGUGUGCCCCAACUAUAGCUGCAUUAAUAACCUUUGUACUUGCCUUUCAAACACACCUCCAUUUCCAUAGUCUUAGAAUCUACACACUCCAACAGUUGAAUGAAAUGGUGGGAUUUUUUUGUGUAAUUUGAAAUAAAUUAUCAUGCAAUGGAUCUAAUAAGAAAAAAUAUUGUAAUUAUUGUAAUUUUAAUUUUCUUUUUACCCUUCUCUACCCCUCCCCCCCUUCUAGUAGCGAAAAGUAUGUUACAUUUCAAAUAUAUAAAAAGAGUUACAAUCUUGUUUUAAAACUAAAAGAAAUAACAGUAAGAACAAAAGAUAGGAGAAAAAUUAAGACACAAAAUGAGAUGAUAAUUCUUCUUUCUACUUGUAUCUCAUAAGCUUGUAUAUGGCUUCAAUCUAUAGGGCUUCAACAAUGAUAGGCUAAAAAUAAUAUAAAUAGGAAUAUCAAAACUCGCAAUAAAUUGAAUGGGUAUUUCAUAAGUUUCAAGUUCCACCGUAUUAUUUUGGUGGGGACACUUUGUUAAUUUAUUAACAACACUAUGCACUAGAUGUGUAUCAAAUGGAAACGUGCUCUGUUAAAACUUUAUUAGAAAAAAUUGCAUAAGCACCUAUUAUAAGCUAAAACAUUAAAAACAUUUUCUAGGAAAACUUAGCUGGACAAUACCUUGGGUAAAGGAAAGAGUAAACAUGUUUUAGACUCCCCCUAAUUUUAAAAAUAUUGAAACAUGGUACAAAUUUUGAAACAAUUUUUUGUUGCUAAAUACUUCGUCAAAGAGAAUCAUACUAUGAAGACAUGCCUUUUUAAUUACAAUGAUAACCAUUGAGUUUCAUUGUAUACUCUAGGUUCAUUUGCCAAUAACUCUUUUGCACAACAUAAUAUAGGUGGGGGCGAAUCAAAAUUUAAAUAAAGUAACAUUAAUACAUGCAUUAAAGCCUCCAUUAAUUUCUUAUAAGUUUAUUUUUAUAUCCACAAUCAACAUUUUUCUUAUGCGGACAUGAUACCUUGCUAUUGCAUAUGACUUAAGGAAAACUGUAUAUUAAAUUUAGCGUCCUGGCUUUGGAGAUUUCUACAUCCUAUCUCUCUUUCUUACUCCGUUGCAAGGAUGUUCAUGUAAGCCACCUAAUAGAUAAUUGUAUGGUUUCUUUAUUCUUAUAGAAACACAUAUCGAGUCUUUCUUGACAUCACUGUGACUUUAAUAGUCAUUACCAAUAUGGUUUGACUCUUGCAGGUUUUGAGUACAUUGGCGUGUCAUUCGGCCCAAUUAAGGGCUAUUAUUGUUGUUUCAAUUUGAGAUCUCUCUCUUCUAGUUUUUCUUCUUCUUUUCUCAUUUUGGUUUCCUACCCUUUAUAUGCUUGUUGUAGUAUUUUUCCUUAAGUUAAUUUUGGAAAUACAUAGAAUCUAUUGAAUGGAGUGCCAUUAAUCUUACCAACAUUAUAUCUCAUCAUCUUCUUGCUUGUUUUUAGGAUCUUUAUGGCCAUGGUUAGACAAGAGUUUAUCUAUCUUGUAAAAGUUAUUUUGGGAGAUGUAACGUGCACAUUUUCUAUAAGUCCUACACUUUUACCUGUUGUGUCAAUGAGGCCAUCUUAAGGUAUUUCCCCCUCUAUUUAUUUCAUUAGUCAAAUUGGAUGUACUUUUAUGAACUUAAAAUCAAACAAUCACUUUUUGCUUUUUUGUAACCUCUCUUUUCAGGUCUGAUAACAUCGAUCAUGAAGUUGAGCUCCUCCGUGGAUAGCCUUGGUUGUUUGUUUCCAUUUAUUCACAAUCUGUUGCAACAAAUUUUGACAUUUUAACUGUAGUGAUAGUUUUAUUAGCCUUGUAGCGAGCCCAAGAUACCAACUGCUCCCACCCAUGAUUUUGAAUUUUAAAUACUUUAUUAAAAUGAUUUUGAUGUUUAGAAAUUUAAAAAUAAACUAAUCUUCUUCGAAAUUUUAUUACUUAGCGAUCAGCUGCUUGGGAUAGAAAGAACUUAAAUCCUAGGCCUGACAAACCUAGGAAGUCAUCUAGGUGGGAAUUAACCCAAAAUUGGUAUUUCCUAUCCAUGAACCUCUUACCUCAAGUUGGUCUGGACUGUGAGGUCGAAAGAUAAGUAGUUGUUGUCAACUCAUUAGUUUAGUGGAAGAUCAAGAGAUCUUACUAGGUUAGAAGAUAAUUGAUUGAGUAGAACCUAAAACAGGAUUUAGUUACGAUCACUGAAGUGAGCUAAUCACUCAUGCUUAGAUUUUAUUGAAUCACAUAUUAGCUCUCCAUCUUUUUUAUUUUAUGCAAGUUUAUUUCUUUUCUUAUAAAAACAAUUGUUUUUCACUUUAUGAUCAUCGUACUAUAAUUUAUUUAAGUUACUAAUUAGAUCUAUUUGCGUUUAGGUUAACAUUAAUUUAUUACUUGUCUGCCUUGGGUACGAUCCUCGAGUACUCACCUACUUCGUUGUAAAACUAUAUUACAACCUGACUCGUAUACUUGAGGACACCGCCUCAAUUCAAUAUAUACUUUUAGCAAUAUUCACACUCUGGAUUCUAGUACCUCCGAAAGCGGUCACUUUCCAAAGUGGCGCGUAGUUUAUCUGCAAAUCAGUGGUGGCUCGUCUACAAUCCGGAGUGAUAUGUUAGACGAGUUCUGGGGAAUUCGUACGUGAGGUGUGUAGCGGAGUUGGGUAGGACUUUUCUGUUAAUUUGAAACUUCAAUGCAUUCAUAAGCACGUGCAUAUAAAAUUGUGAAUACCAAUAUAGUGAAGUGAAGCGUUUUAUGUGAAAAACCGUUAAUCUGAGGUGCCUUGUGGUUGUCUUUAAUCUCAGGAUUGCUAAUUCAUGUGCCUUAUUGGUUUGUUGUUUUAUUCUGAUUUUCUUGUGACUGAACUCACAUUGAGCUUCAUAGCUCACUGCCCUUUAGUUCCCAUCCUUGUAGAUAACCCACCAGGUUGGGAUGCGACAUAUGGAGGGCUCGAAAAAGUUUUAAUGUUAUGAAAGUAUUGUUAUGCUUAUUUUAAAAUUUAUGUUAUUUCGGAACUGUACUGUAUUAUUUAUUUUCUGGCAUUGGAUUCAUAUUUAGGUUUUGGUUUUAUAUUGCAAGCAUGACAUAUAAAUUUUUGUUUUUAAGAUGAUGAAAUAUGGAUUUCAAUUAAAUAUGCAUGAAAUAUAGAUGUUAGUAAAACUCAGGAAAAGCCAUUUUUCCGCUGAAAGGUCAUAAUUAAAUUUUGUCUAAUAACUACAAUAUAACUAAGUUCACAAUAGUUAUCACCUUUUACAUGAAAAAUAUUAGUUUAAUUGUAUUUUAUAUACCCAUGAUUUGUUUUCUAAAAAUAGACACAGUCUUUGUAAGGAUAAAAAAAUGUUUUAAUGUGACUAUUUAAAAUCUUCGAUUGCACUAGGCCAUCACGGUGGCCGAUGUAAUCUCCCGAACUUGGGCCUACCGUCUAGGCCAAUUUGGGGAGGUUACAAUUUCAAUGCCAUAAAGUACUAAAACCAUAUUUUCAAUCAUCUUCAGCAUAGAUUAUUUCAUGUUGAUAUGAGUUGAAUUAAAAUAUUUAAUUUGAACUUAUAAAUUUGCCAUAUUUAAGGGGGAAAAAAGUGGUUUUACUUCAAACAAAAAGAAGAGAUAAAUUGUUACCAACUAAAUUGAUGAACAAGAACUUGAUAUGAUAUAUACGUGAAUACAAUAAAAAUACAUUAAUUGCGCUACAAUUGUGUAUAAUAUCCUUUUUAUUUAGUUAUAUUGUGUUUGUACAAAAAAAAUAUGUUCAAUUCUAAUUCUAAUUCUAAUUCUAAUUCUAAUUCUAAUUCUAAUUCUAAUUCCAGUUCCAAUUUGAGUUUGAACUUGAUUUGGAACACAAAAAUUGAGCAUGAUGCCAAGUUUGAGAAUCGAACUCAAGUCUUAUCAAAUAAACAAGCCUAAUUAAAUUUAGUAAAGCUAAUUAAAGCAGUUUAAUCUUUAUCUCGUAUCAAGUUUAUAUUUUAAAAGUUAAACUCACUGAAGUUAUAUUGGAGCAUUCAAUUCUCUAGGUUUCUAUGGAGAUUGAGAUUGAAUUUCUUGGCUCAGUUCAACCCCAUUAAAUAACUUUAAAUUUUUUAUUUUGAUACAAUAGUUAAUAUUAUUUCCAAACUCAUAUAACUAGUUGUGUAGGAAGGGGUCAGGUUUUUUUGUCUGCUUUCUCUCUCUACUAUCUCCAAAAUUUUAAUGCUUUUAGUAUUUUAAUAUUUGAAAAUUAUUAAAAAAAAUUUGUCUAGCAAGAAAUAUAUAAUUUAAUCUUUUCUUCUUCUAGACCACAAAUAAAAAAAAUUGGAACAUAUUUUCCAUUUGUUUCUAAACGGUUGGACUAAUAAUCAACUUAUUGGCAUCAUGCAUUCCAGAUUUGGUAACAUUAAUUUCCAUGACUACACUUAGAACAAAAUAAUGAUAAUUAGUAAACAAAAUCCCCAUCAAUCUUCUCAAGGAUGUUUUGCUGAUUUACUUUCCUUUUAGACAUAGUUUCAUAAGGAAAAAAAUAAAAACGUAAUAAUCUCAAAGAAUCCAAAGAAAUUAGUAUUCCUCCAUGCAACACAAAAUAAGAUACUAUAUAUAUUAAAUCCAUAAGCUAUAAAUUUCCACCAACAUAGUUAAUUAGAUAUAAAGAGAUGGCAAUGUUUUCAUUCAAUUUGUUUAUAUUUGCUGUCAUCUUAAUCUUUGCAACUCGUUAGUUUCUUCCUAUGCAGCUCUUUUCUUUCCUUUGGUAUGAAUAUUAUGUUUUUGUUUAAUUUAACACAAGGGAAUUUUUGUUGCAGACUCAGAGAUGAUGGCGGAGGCAAGAGGACCUGUUAUUUCGUGUAGAUGCAGCAAAACCGAAGACUGUCAGGGUAUUUGCACCGUGUGCCCCAACUAUAGCUGCAUUAAUAACCUUUGUACUUGCCUUUCAAACGCACCUCCAUUUCCAUAGUCUUAGAAUCUACACACUCCAACAGUUGAAUGAAAUGGUGGGAUUUUUUUGUGUAAUUUGAAAUAAAUUAUCAUGCAAUGGAUCUAAUAAGAAAAAAUUUCUUUUGAUAA